AUUUAAAUAGCUUAUAAAGAGCAUAGCAUUGAAGAUGCUAAGGAAAUAAAUUUUAUUUUUAAAUA
rnacentral:tRNA from 1 species